rnacentral:lncRNA from 1 species
UUCGAUCCCUCUCAAACGUUAUCAGAUGUAAACUCUGCUCUAAAUACUCUGCAGAAUGUGGAGUCACAGCAACAGAAAUACUGGGGGAAUCAACCAGAGCUACUUAUAAACUAGUAAAUAGCUCAUCCUUAAUGGGAGAAUCAGGAUACUCUAUAGGCUCCCCAUCAUCAAAAUCAAUACUCGGCUUUCAGGAUACAACCC